UUGAAGCUGAAAAUAAUUGGGAUUUAGAUCCAUACGCAAUUCAGUCAGAAUUGGAUUUUACAGUAAAGUGCAGACCAUCAAGUUACUAUCAUAGAUAUUUAUACAUAUCUGGUGGAAUCUCGCAGUUGCUACUCUAAGCAGCAGAUGAAAGCAUACAAAAGCCUUCAGGCACAUAAAUAUUUUACAGCUGGAUUUGUUUUGAAUGGAGUAAAAAUUGUUAAUGAUUUCCUGAUUUCCAUAUUAUUGUUGGAAAGGUGAAGCAUUUCCAAAAAUCUAAUGCUAAACGACUAAAUGCUUGGGUGGGGUGAUAGCCAGUUCUGAUGACAUAGCAAAUGCAGAUUGUAUGCGUAUGGCCGGUAAUAGUGAAGUCUGCAGCAAUCCUAUUUUUAGCUGAGUGUGCCCAGGGCAAGACAGACGAAGAAGAACCCAAUGUUACAGCUACAUGGUUUGGAGAUAGCAACAUAUGCAUUCUCUGAUGAAAAACUAAUGAGUUUUGAAACUGUUCGGUCAGAGUGCUUGUUGAGCUCACUAAACGAACUGAAAUAUAAGAUGGCUUUGGCAUUGUGUUGCAGCGAUAUGAAAAUGGAUAUUCAUUUUUAAUUAUAAUGUACUUCUUCAUCAUGAGUAAUUAUGUAUUGGUCUUUUAAAUGUGUAUUUAUUUUUGUAAUUAGUAUCAACUUGUAAUGAUAAUAUACAUUUAUCGUUUAAGGUAUGACUAUGUUUUGACUCUAAAAUAAAUUAUUUAAAAAUCGAA